AGAAUCAACGCUGGCGGCGUGCCUAACACAUGCAAGUCGAACGAGAAAGUGGAGCAAUCCAUGAGUAAAGUGGCGACCGGGUGAGUAACACGUGACUAACCUACCUUCGAGUGGGGAAUAACCUCGGGAAACCGGGGCUAAUACCGCAUAAUGUCUUCGGACCAAAGGAGCAAUUCGCUGGAAGAGGGGGUCGCGGCCGAUUAGCUAGUUGGCGGGGUAACGGCCCACCAAGGCAAUGAUCGGUAGCCGGCCUGAGAGGGCGCACGGCCACACUGGAACUGAAACACGGUCCAGACUCCUACGGGAGGCAGCAGUGGGGAAUUUUGCGCAAUGGGGGAAACCCUGACGCAGCAACGCCGCGUGGAGGAUGAAGCCCCUUGGGGUGUAAACUCCUUUCGAUCGGGACGAUUAUGACGGUACCUGAUGAAGAAGCACCGGCUAACUCUGCGCAGCAGCCGC
rnacentral:rRNA from 1 species